AUUGAACGCUGGCGGCAGGCCUAACACAUGCAAGUCGAACGAGCGGCGGACGGGUGAGUAAUGUCUGGGAAACUGCCUGAUGGAGGGGGAUAACUACUGGAAACGGUAGCUAAUACCGCAUACCAUCAGAUGUGCCCAGAUGGGUUUAGCUAGUAGGUGGGGUAAUGGCUCACCUAGGCGACGAUCCCUAGCUGGUCUGCGAGGAUGACCAGCCAGACGGGAACGGAGACACGGUCCAGACUGCUACGGGAGGCAGCAGUGGGGAAUAGUGCACAAUGGGCGCAAGCCUGAUGCAGCCAUGCCGCGUGUGUGAAGAAGGCCUUCGGGUUGGAAAGCACUUUCAGCGAGGAGGCGUUACUCGCAGAAGAAGCACCGGCUAACUCCGUGCCAGCAGCCGCGGUAAUAC
rnacentral:rRNA from 1 species